rnacentral:rRNA from 1 species
AGGACGAACGCUGGCGGCGUGCUUAACACAUGCAAGUCAAGGGGGCCCAGCAAUGGGCAACCGGCGAACGGGUGCGUAACACGUGAGCAACCUACCGAACUGUGGGGGAUAGCCGGCCUAACGGCCGAGUAAUACCGCAUACGCUCUCAGAGAGGCAUUUCUUUGAGAGGAAACCUACGGGACAGAUCGAGGGCUCGCGGCCUAUCAGCUAGUUGGCGAGGUAACGCUCACCAAGGCAACGACGGGUA